rnacentral:rRNA from 1 species
UACGGAGGGUGCAAGCGUUGUUCGGAAUCACUGGGCGUAAAGCGCGUGUAGGCGGCUAUCUAAGUCUGAUGUGAAAGCCCUGGGCUCAACUCAGGAAGUGCAUUGGAUACUGGAUAGCUGGAGUACCGGAGAGGAGGGUGGAAUUCCUGGUGUAGCGGUGAAAUGCGUAGAUAUCAGGAGGAACACCGAUGGCGAAGGCAGGUCUCUGGGCCACUACUGACGCUGAGAAGCGAAAGCAUGGGGGAGCGAACAGG